rnacentral:rRNA from 1 species
GCGGACGGGUGAGUAACACGUAAGAAUUUGCCUUUAGGAGGGGGACAACAACUGGAAACGGUUGCUAAUACCCCAUAUGCUUUCGAGUAAAACGGUUUUUCCGCCUAAAGAGAAGCUUGCGGCUGAUUAGCUUGUUGGUGAGGUAAUGGCUCACCAAGGCGACGAUCAGUAUCUGGUUUGAGAGGACGAUCAGACACACUGGAACUGAGACACGGUCCAGACUCCUACGGGAGGCAGCAGUGGGGAAUUUUCCGCAAUGGGCGAAAGCCUGACGGAGCAAUACCGCGUGAGGGAUGACGGCCUAUGGGUUGUAAACCUCUUUUUUCAGGGAGGAAUAAAUGACGUGUACCUGAGGAAUAAGCAUCGGCUAACUCCGUGCCAGCAGCCGCGGUAAGACGGAGGAUGCAAGUGUUAUCCGGAAUCACUGGGCGUAAAGCGUCUGUAGGUGGUCCAAUAAGUCAACUGUUAAAUCUUGAGGCUCAACCUCAAAAUCGCAGUCGAAACUAUUAGACUAGAGUAUAGUAGGGGUAAAGGGAAUUUCCAGUGGAGCGGUGAAAUGCGUAGAGAUUGGAAAGAACACCGAUGGCGAAGGCACUUUACUGGGCUAUUACUAACACUGAGAGACGAAAGCUAGGGUAGCAAAUGGGAUUAGAUACCCCAGUAGUCCUAGCCGUAAACAAUGGAUACUAGAUGUUGAACAGAUCGACCUGUGCAGUAUCAAAGCUAACGCGUUAAGUAUCCCGCCUGGGAAGUAUGCUCGCAAGAGUGAAACUCAAGGAAUUGA